CAUUAAAAAACACGUACAAUAAAAAAAACUUAUUUUCAAAAGUUGCAUCAAAAAAUUUUUUAAAUAUUCUCAUUGGAAUUUUGAACAAAAAUAUCUGAAAGCUCAGGGAAUUUUCAAGGAAUCUAUAAGAAUUUACAAGAUUUAAAUAGACACUCUGGUAAUUCUUUUAGCUCGGAUAUUUUUCGUGCAAUAAUUGUUGAAUAGACAUACUUUUCAAAGAAGCAUAUUGAGAAAUUGUUAGCAUAUAUAGUUGAAUCGAAAUAAGAAACAGUAGCUUCUGAAAGGAGAUUCAAAAGAAGAGGCACUCGGAAGACAAUUCCGUACAUGUGUGUGUGCGCGCGCGCGCGUUUGAAAUAAAAAAAAAAAAGGGAAGGGGGGAAAGCAGCGGGAGGUCGAGGGACCCGACUAAAGAGAGAUACGAACGGCAGGCCUGAGGCCGGGGAAUAGCCGUCCGAAAACAAACAGACUGCAUCACGAAGUCAUUCGUUAUGCGUCCAUGGUAUAUUAAUUAUUCCAUAGCCCGGCUUCGGCGAAUUACCCUCCUUCGUUUUUUUUAUUACUUAUAUUUCUCUUUUCUCGUUUCUUCGAUAGCGGACCUCAUCGACGAGAUUAUAUGUAACUUUAAAUUAAAUAAAAUAUCGUAUAAAAUAUUUUUUAUCCAAAGAUAACUUGCCUCUCCUCUGUUUUAGGUACGGAGUCGAUAAGCGGUCAAUGGUAUUAUCGUACGCAAGUGCGAAAAGAGAAAUGUUUCGAAGAUAAAGGUGAUUAGACUCGCGAUAUCCAAGAGCGAGGCUCGAGCCAACCGCCCGAGGAUAGAAAGCUCUAACUGGACUUGAUUCGAGAGAAUACACUAUUUGUAUGUAUUGUACAUGCAAUUAGAAGAACGGCGAUCUAUGGACGCGUACAAAUACACAAUAUGUACAGAUAUCUAAGGCACCAGGGCCGUUAUUAACAUAAAAGAUCGAAAAAGAAUGAGCUGGGAUCGAGAAUCACGUCCGACGAAUACCUAGCGGCUGCGAAACACCUGUUCGUAUCUACGAGCGGAUGGGUUAUGAACUCGCGAAGUUAUGCGAAAGGGGAAAAAGGGACAGAAGGCUCAUCAGCAUCACGUGGAGAGACGAAAGGAGUGGCCGAAAGAGCACUGGCGAUGAAGAAGACCGGUCCACUCAUCGAAGGCGCUCAAAGAGAGGCAUCCUGAAAAAUAAAUAUCUCCACUACUAUCAAUUUUACAAAAGAAAGAGCUUGAAAAAUGUUUUCGUUGCAUUUACGAAAAUGUGCAGAUCAAUGCUGCUGAAAUCAUCACCACCAGUAGUAACUUUCUAUGUUUCUAGAACGCAUCGUUUAAAGAAGAGAGAGAGAAUAACAGGUAAAAUAUUUUCGCUAUGCGGUAAACGAACCUCCCUUCGGGGCAAGAGACGAAAGAGGCGUGGGACAAUCCGAACGAUCCCGCUCGCCCGGCUUUCGGUCAAUUUCCGUUUCACAAAGGUACAGUACCGAAGGUGGUAUUUGCGUUGGGACUUGUAACUAUCGAGCCGAGCUAUCCGAACCAUUAUUAGGAAGGAGGAGCGGGGGGAGAAGGCUUAAAACGGCUCGGGAAGCGGGUGGACGCCGCCCGGACGGUUACAGUGGGGUGGCAAUUAGCAGGAACAAUGGGGAGCCGUGAUCCUUGUUUCUGGGAAGUAGGCGGAGGAUCUCCCUCCGGGGGCCCUACCAUUCCAUAGACUAAAAAGAGAGAGAAAGAUAGAAAGAGAAAGAGAGGGUGGGAGGGAGAGAGAGAGAGAGAGGAGGUGCACCAGGUAUCUAGACCCCAACCGAAUAUAGUAUAGGGACUGGCGUAAGUAUAUAUGCGGCCUCGAUGUUUCGGCACUAGAAGACAGGUUCUUGAUGUUCCCGAGAACCCUGGCAACCUGGUGAUUAGCCCUACUUAACUGCGAAUACGCGGACGCGACGCGAGCGGCCCAUCGGCGAGUAAAAGGCAUCCUCAUCAAUUAUAUGCAAUUGCCAAAUUGCUCCAAAUUACAUACGUUGGUCCUUGAAGAACAACUGGGGCCCUUUAUGAUAAUUUUCGUAUUUUUUUUUCUUUUUUUUUUUUGCAAAGCCAACUCACCGCCAAGUCUACCUUUGAUUAUCGCUCGCCGAACGCGCGCGUUAUUAGCUCGGGUUAAUUAAACUUUGAAUCAUAACGUGUGCGUCGUAUUGAGAAGUGUAUUAGAUCAACGAUCUUCUCCAUCGACAAUGGAUUCAUCUUUCGAAUACAAGCAUCAGUUGAUUUAAUCAUCGCCAACAAAAUUAUCCUUCAGUCACGUCUGUCUGUUUUUCAACCAAUUUUAUAGUUAUAUAUUAUCUCAUCGCGCGCAUCUUGACAGUAAGAGAUAAUAUCUGAUUUGUUAUUUCCUUAUUUCGCGGUUGUCGUGGAAGCGGCGAAAAGAUAGAGCGGUAGCGUUUUGCGUGUUAGGCCCCGCGGUAUAAUGUCCCUUUGAGACUUUUGUUCUCGCUCGUUUGCAUGCGCAGUUAGCGAGAAUAAACAACAGCAUCAGCUGCUCGGCGCUCAGCCGACGAUGCCAAGCCUAAUUGCGCGAGACAAAUUGUCGGCCGAUGCGUGUCACGCGAUGCGAUCUCAAAUUUUCGCGUCGCACGAGCAAUCGCGAAUUUCUAUUUUCUCAU